GACGAACGCUGGCGGCGUGCCUAAUACAUGCAAGUUGAGCGCUGAAGGUUGGUACUUGUACCGACUGGAUGAGCAGCGAACGGGUGAGUAACGCGUGGGGAAUCUGCCUUUGAGCGGGGGACAACAUUUGGAAACGAAUGCUAAUACCGCAUAAAAACUUUAAACACAAGUUUUAAGUCUGAAAGAUGCAAUUGCAUCACUCAAAGAUGAUCCCGCGUUGUAUUAGCUAGUUGGUGAGGUAAAGGCUCACCAAGGCGAUGAUACAUAGCCGACCUGAGAGGGUGAUCGGCCAAAUUGGGACUGAGACACGGCCCAAACUCCUACGGGAGGCAGCAGUAGGGAAUCUUCGGAAAUGGACGAAAGUCUGACCGAGCAACGCCGCGUGAGUUAAGAAGGUUUUCGGAUCGUAAAACUCUGUUGGUAGAGAAGAACGUUGGUGAGAGUGGAAAGCUCAUCAAGUGACGGUAACUACACAGAAAGGGACGGCUAACUACGUG
rnacentral:rRNA from 1 species